UGAGGAAUAUUGGUCAAUGGAGGCAACUCUGAACCAGCCAUGCCGCGUGAAGGAUGAAGGUCCUCUGGAUUGUAAACUUCUUUUAUAAAAGAAGAAACCCCAGAUUUCUAUCUGGGUUGACGGUACUUUAUGAAUAAGCACCGGCUAACUCCGUGCCAGCAGCCGCGGUAAUACGGAGGGUGCAAGCGUUAUCCGGAUUCACUGGGUUUAAAGGGAGCGUAGGUGGGCUGGUAAGUCAGUGGUGAAAUCCCCGAGCUUAACUUGGGAACUGCCAUUGAUACUAUCAGUCUUGAAUACUGUGGAGGUAAGCGGAAUAUAUCAUGUAGCGGUGAAAUGCUUAGAUAUGAUAUAGAACACCGAUAGCGAAGGCAGCUUACUACGCAGUUAUUGACACUGAGGC
rnacentral:rRNA from 1 species